AGCGAACGCUGGCGGCAGGCUUAACACAUGCAAGUCGAGCGGGCCCUUCGGGGUCAGCGGCAGACGGGUGAGUAACACGUGGGAACGUACCCUUUGGUUCGGAAUAACGCUGGGAAACUAGCGCUAAUACCGGAUACGCCCUUUUGGGGAAAGGCUUGCUGCCGAAGGAUCGGCCCGCGUCUGAUUAGCUAGUUGGUGGGGUAAUGGCCUACCAAGGCGACGAUCAGUAGCUGGUCUGAGAGGAUGAGCAGCCACACUGGGACUGAGACACGGGCCAGACUCCUACGGGAGGCAGGAGUGGGGAAUAUUGGACAAUGGGCGCAAGCCUGAUCCAGCCAUGCCGCGUGAGUGAUGAAGGCCUUAGGGUUGUAAAGCUCUUUUGUCCGGGACGAUAAUGACGGUACCGGAAGAAUAAGCCCCGGCUAACUUCGUG
rnacentral:rRNA from 1 species